ensembl:miRNA
UUUUGGUGUUGUGGCUGAGUACCUUUGGGCAGUGUUUUGCACCUCUGAGAGUGGAGUAACUCCUCCUGUGGAGUUGGUCCUAGUCUGGGUGCAAACAAUUUAUUUCUGUUAGAAAAGGACCCUGUCUUAAG